AAAGACAAAUAUUGCAAGAAAGAAAAUAAGAUUCAUAUCACACGAGGAAAGCACUGUAAAUGGAUUCAGGAUAAUGUUGAUGCAGAGGUUUUGUAAAAAUACAAGGACUAUUUCAAUUUCAACCCCUGCAUGAGACAUGCCAGAUUGGAGGGAAAAAAAUCAAAAUUUGGAAAUACAAUGAACAAAGAUUACAUACAUGGAAUAACAAAUAAUUAGAAAAAACUUUUCAAUUGUGCACCAUUACAUGGAAAUGGAAUAUAGAUCAAAGUGUGUGCUGAUGAAUCUUUGUCCUUCCAGCAAGUAACAUUGCUUAUAUCAUAGCUCUGAAAAGGCUGAAAUCUCAACAAACGGACAAAAAGCUUCUCAGUGAGAUUAUAUUAUUGUUAGGAUGGACACACAUCACCACAAAUCUGCAGCCAUAGGCAGACACUGUGAGUCUCAGUUAUUUAGUACAAUGACAAUAGAAAAAAAGAAAACAAAAAUACUUUGUUAAAACCAUAUAUAUGAUUUUUAUCAAUCCGACCCUAUUUCAAUCAUAACUCAACUGUAUCUCACGACGUAACUUAAAAACUAUAACUACAUACAGCAGCAAGGAAAAACUCCCCUUUAACGGGAAGAAACCUCAAGCAGAACCGGACUCUAGGUGGACGCCAUCUGCCUCCACCGGUUGGGUUGAGACGUUAUUAGAUUUAUAUACUCAAAAGAAAGAAGAGAGAGAGAGAGAGAGAGAGAGAGAGAGAGAGAGAGAGAGAGAGAGAGAGAGAGAGAAUAUGCUGAAGUGGAAGAAAUAAUUUCUACUGCUGGAUAACAGAAGCAGAAGAGUCUUCAUUGGUCGCACUUGCUGUGGCACCAUCCCUCCUCACUGGCAAACAGUAAAGUGCAGACUGAUGCCCUGGUAGCAAAUUGACUGUCUCAGGUUCACUUUCAUCAGCACUUUCAACAUUUCUAUUCUGCAUGUUGGAAGGAGCUUCACCGGCAUUUCCUCCAGCUGAGCCUCCACUUGCUGAUGAGCCGGAUGGGUUUGCUGUUGGCUGAGGACUCCAGUUUGAUGUUCUUCCUGGAAUUAAAGGCAACUAUUUUAGUCUUGACAAUACAAAAAGGGUGACAGGGCAGUGGUAGUGCUGGAUGUUUUGUCUUAUAUUUAGCCAUGUUAGGAGCAUGGCUUUACGAAGCAUAAUGUUUGUCAGUGGGUUGGUGUGUCGGUUCACCACUUUCAUCCUGACUGAAAUAUAUCAAAAACUAUUUUCUACAGACAUCAACGGUGUCCAGAGGAUGAAUCCUUCUGACUUUGGUAAUACUUUAACUUUCCCUCUAGUGCCACCAUAAAGUUGACAUUUGUGCUUUUAACUAAAAUAUCUCAACAAAUGUUGGAAGGACUGCCAUGACAUUUGGUACAGACAUUAAUGUUCUGCUCUGGUUGAAUUGUAAUAACUUCCUGUGACUUUCAGGGCAAAGUAUUCAUUUGUCCAAUAUUUUGGUUUAUGACUAAAUAUCUGCAAAACUAACGA